CACAGCAAGAAGAGUAAUUUGUUAUGUCAACCGGUUGACUGCGUUCCAAACGCUUUACCCUUUUAUCGAUUAAAUCAGCCUAACCAUGAAACGCUGUGACGCCGCACUGCCCCGUUUCCUGAUUUAA